rnacentral:rRNA from 1 species
UAMCAUGCAAGUCGAACGAUGAAGCCUUCGGGUGGAUUAGUGGCGAACGGGUGAGUAACACGUGGGCAAUCUGCCCUGCACUCUGGGACAAGCCCUGGAAACGGGGUCUAAUACCGGAUAAUACUGUUCCCCUCCUGGGGGAUGGUUGAAAGCUCCGGCGGUGCAGGAUGAGCCCGCGGCCUAUCAGCUUGUUGGUGGGGUAAUGGCCUACCAAGGCGACGACGGGUAGCCGGCCUGAGAGGGCGACCGGCCACACUGGGACUGAGACACGGCCCAGACUCCUACGGGAGGCAGCAGUGGGGAAUAUUGCACAAUGGGCGAAAGCCUGAUGCAGCGACGCCGCGUGAGGGAUGACGGCCUUCGGGUUGUAAACCUCUUUCAGCAGGGAAGAAGCGAAAGUGACGGUACCUGCAGAAGAAGCGCCGGCUAACUACGUGCCAGCAGCCGCGGUAAUACGUAGGGCGCAAGCGUUGUCCGGAAUUAUUGGGCGUAAAGAGCUCGUAGGCGGUCUGUCACGUCGGGUGUGAAAGCCCGGGGCUUAACCCCGGGUCUGCAUUCGAUACGGGCAGACUAGAGUGUGGUAGGGGAGAUCGGAAUUCCUGGUGUAGCGGUGAAAUGCGCAGAUAUCAGGAGGAACACCGGUGGCGAAGGCGGAUCUCUGGGCCAUUACUGACGCUGAGGAGCGAAAGCGUGGGGAGCGAACAGGAUUAGAUACCCUGGUAGUCCACGCCGUAAACGUUGGGAACUAGGUGUUGGCGACAUUCCACGUCGUCGGUGCCGCAGCUAACGCAUUAAGUUCCCCGCCUGGGGAGUACGGCCGCAAGGCUAAAACUCAGAGGAAUUGACGGGGGCCCGCACAAGCAGCGGAGCAUGUGGCUUAAUUCGACGCAACGCGAAGAACCUUACCAAGGCUUGACAUACACCGGAAAGCAUCAGAGAUGGUGCCCCCCUUGUGGUCGGUGUACAGGUGGUGCAUGGCUGUCGUCAGCUCGUGUCGUGAGAUGUUGGGUUAAGUCCCGCAACGAGCGCAACCCUUGUUCUGUGUUGCCAGCAUGCCUUUCGGGGUGAUGGGGACUCMCAGGAGACCGCCGGGGUCAACUCGGAGGAAGGUGGGGACGACGUCAAGUCAUCAUGCCCCUUAUGUU